GGAGGAGUAUAUUGUUUUUAAUUGAGGUAUUUCAAUAGAGUUUUGGAGAGAUUAAUGGAGGAAUAUAUUUUUGAGGGGUCUGUGUCAAUUCUCUGGAAAAGGAACGAAAAAGAUAAGUCCAGUUGAUAGUUUUUGUCAGGAGGUGUAAUGACGCAUAUUGAAUUGUGUUGUUUGUUGGGCGUGAUUAAAAUAGAGAAAUUGAAAAAUUGAGCAAAGGAGGGAGCUAUUUGAUUCUUUGGCAUUGUGGAAUUUGAGGGUGAAGUGAGGUGGUAUUCAAGGAGGUUGAGAGCAGGUUAUGAAGAAGAUGAUGCCAUUUUUUUCUCUGUUUUGUUUUUCUUCUCUGUGUACCGUGUC
rnacentral:lncRNA from 1 species